AGAUAUCUUCUAUACGUAUAUCAUUGAAUCGUGUAGGAAUUGUGUUGCAUCCUUUCAUGUAUCGAAGAUUGAAAUGCGAAAUUGUCCUAUUCCAACACCAACUGGAUCUACUCCCAGCAAAGUUCUAUCUGUUUGGCGUAUUACGUUUAAAUCUUGAAAUGUUUUAUAUUGGUUGCGGCUCUCUUAUAGUUUACACAGCCAUGCUUCUUCAAAUUUUUGCGUUUCGUUAUAUAUUAUCUCCUAAUAACUCUACUUUUAUCUCUAAUAUUACAUAUCAUAUAA